rnacentral:RNase_P_RNA from 1 species
GGAGCGGGACAAACGAUCGCCGGGGCGGCAGCGCCCCGGAGGAAAGUCCGAACACCACAGGGCAGGGUGCUCCAUAACGUGGAGGCGUGGCGACGCGACGGAAAGUGCAACAGAGAGCAGACCGCCGAUGGACACUGCGCCGCUGCGGCGGCCUGGCGUCACAGGCAAGGGUGAAACGGUGCGGUAAGAGCGCACCAGUUCCCCGGGUGACCGGGGAAGCUCGGUAAACCCCACCCGGUGCAAGACCAAAUAGGGGAGCAUAUCCAGGUGGCCCGCCUGGGCUCCCGGGUAGGUCGCAAGAGGCGGCGGGCAACCGUCGUCCAUAGAUGAAUGAUCGUUGCCCCGCCGGCGGGUAACCGCCCCGGGGAACAGGAUUCGGCUUACGGACCGCUCCGGCC